rnacentral:tRNA from 1 species
GGUUGUGGCUCAGUGGUAGAGCACUCUUCUAGGAUGUGUAAGGCCCUGGGUUUGAUCCUCAGCACCA